GGGUUGUGAGGUUAAGCGACUAAGCGUACACGGUGGAUGCCCUGGCAGUCAGAGGCGAUGAAGGGCGUGCUAAUCUGCGAUAAGCGCCGGUAAGGUGAUAUGAACCGUUAUAACCGGCGAUACCCGAAUGGGGAAACCCAGUGUGAUUCGUCACACUAUCAUUAACUGAAUCCAUAGGUUAAUGAGGCGAACCGGGGGAACUGAAACAUCUAAGUACCCCGAGGAAAAGAAAUCAACCGAGAUUCCCCCAGUAGCGGCGAGCGAACGGGGAGGAGCCCAGAGCCUGAAUCAGCAUGUGUGUUAGUGGAAGCGUCUGGAAAGGCGCGCGAUACAGGGUGACAGCCCCGUACACAAAAGCGCAUGUGCUGUGAGCUCGAUGAGUAGGGCGGGACACGUGGUAUCCUGUCUGAAUAUGGGGGGACCAUCCUCCAAGGCUAAAUACUCCUGACUGACCGAUAGUGAACCAGUACCGUGAGGGAAAGGCGAAAAGAACCCCGGCGAGGGGAGUGAAAAAGAACCUGAAACCGUGUACGUACAAGCAGUGGGAGCCCCACCACCAAAGCAUUCUCUGGUGUUGAAGGCCCUGCAAAGCAGCAUCGCGGUGGCGGAGCGUCGUUUGCGACGCCCAACACACAAAACAAGCGGUGAAUGCUUUGGGGUGGGGUGACUGCGUACCUUUUGUAUAAUGGGUCAGCGACUUAUAUUCUGUAGCAAGGUUAACCGAAUAGGGGAGCCGGAGGGAAACCGAGUCUUAAUUGGGCGUUAAGUUGCAGGGUAUAGACCCGAAACCCGGUGAUCUAGCCAUGGGCAGGUUGAAGGUUGGGUAACACUAACUGGAGGACCGAACCGACUAAUGUUGAAAAAUUAGCGGAUGACCUGUGGCUGGGGGUGAAAGGCCAAUCAAACCGGGAGAUAGCUGGUUCUCCCCGAAAGCUAUUUAGGUAGCGCCUCGUGAAUUCAUCUCCGGGGGUAGAGCACUGUUUCGGCUAGGGGGCCAUCCCGGCUUACCAACCCGAUGCAAACUGCGAAUACCGGAGAAUGUUAUCACGGGAGACACACGGCGGGUGCUAACGUCCGUCGUGAAGAGGGAAACAACCCAGACCGCCAGCUAAGGUCCCAAAGUCAUGGUUAAGUGGGAAACGAUGUGGGAAGGCCCAGACAGCCAGGAUGUUGGCUUAGAAGCAGCCAUCAUUUAAAGAAAGCGUAAUAGCUCACUGGUCGAGUCGGCCUGCGCGGAAGAUGUAACGGGGCUAAACCAUGCACCGAAGCUGCGGCAGCGAACGUAUCACUUAAAGCGAUUCAGCGGGUUACGAUUGACGGAGCGAAGCGACGUCAAAGCGUAUACAAAGUCGAGUCGGUUUAAGGAUACGUUCGUUGGGUAGGGGAGCGUUCUGUAAGCCCGUGAAGGUGGCCUGUGAGGGUUGCUGGAGGUAUCAGAAGUGCGAAUGCUGACAUAAGUAACGAUAAAGCGGGUGAAAAGCCCGCUCGCCGGAAGACCAAGGGUUCCUGUCCAACGUUAAUCGGGGCAGGGUGAGUCGACCCCUAAGGCGAGGCCGAAAGGCGUAGUCGAUGGGAAACGGGUUAAUAUUCCCGUACUUGGUGUUACUGCGAAGGGGGGACGGAGAAGGCUAUGUUGGCCGGGCGACGGUUGUCCCGGUUUAAGCGUGUAGGUGUGUGUUCCAGGUAAAUCCGGUUCACUUUAACACUGAGGCGUGACGACGAGGCACUACGGUGCUGAAGCAACAAAUGCCCUGCUUCCAGGAAAAGCCUCUAAGCAUCAGGUAACACGAAAUCGUACCCCAAACCGACACAGGUGGUCAGGUAGAGAAUACCAAGGCGCUUGAGAGAACUCGGGUGAAGGAACUAGGCAAAAUGGUGCCGUAACUUCGGGAGAAGGCACGCUGACACGUAGGUGAAGUGAUUUACUCAUGGAGCUGAAGUCAGUCGAAGAUACCAGCUGGCUGCAACUGUUUAUUAAAAACACAGCACUGUGCAAACACGAAAGUGGACGUAUACGGUGUGACGCCUGCCCGGUGCCGGAAGGUUAAUUGAUGGGGUCAGCGCAAGCGAAGCUCCUGAUCGAAGCCCCGGUAAACGGCGGCCGUAACUAUAACGGUCCUAAGGUAGCGAAAUUCCUUGUCGGGUAAGUUCCGACCUGCACGAAUGGCGUAAUGAUGGCCAGGCUGUCUCCACCCGAGACUCAGUGAAAUUGAACUCGCUGUGAAGAUGCAGUGUACCCGCGGCAAGACGGAAAGACCCCGUGAACCUUUACUAUAGCUUGACACUGAACAUUGAGCCUUGAUGUGUAGGAUAGGUGGGAGGCUUUGAAGUGUGGACGCCAGUCUGCAUGGAGCCGACCUUGAAAUACCACCCUUUAAUGUUUGAUGUUCUAACGUGGACCCGUAAUCCGGGUUGCGGACAGUGUCUGGUGGGUAGUUUGACUGGGGCGGUCUCCUCCUAAAGAGUAACGGAGGAGCACGAAGGUUGGCUAAUCCUGGUCGGACAUCAGGAGGUUAGUGCAAUGGCAUAAGCCAGCUUGACUGCGAGCGUGACGGCGCGAGCAGGUGCGAAAGCAGGUCAUAGUGAUCCGGUGGUUCUGAAUGGAAGGGCCAUCGCUCAACGGAUAAAAGGUACUCCGGGGAUAACAGGCUGAUACCGCCCAAGAGUUCAUAUCGACGGCGGUGUUUGGCACCUCGAUGUCGGCUCAUCACAUCCUGGGGCUGAAGUAGGUCCCAAGGGUAUGGCUGUUCGCCAUUUAAAGUGGUACGCGAGCUGGGUUUAGAACGUCGUGAGACAGUUCGGUCCCUAUCUGCCGUGGGCGCUGGAGAACUGAGGGGGGCUGCUCCUAGUACGAGAGGACCGGAGUGGACGCAUCACUGGUGUUCGGGUUGUCAUGCCAAUGGCACUGCCCGGUAGCUAAAUGCGGAAGAGAUAAGUGCUGAAAGCAUCUAAGCACGAAACUUGCCCCGAGAUGAGUUCUCCCUGAGACUUAGAGUCUCCUGAAGGAACGUUGAAGACGACGACGUUGAUAGGCCGGGUGUGUAAGCGCAGCGAUGCGUUGAGCUAACCGGUACUAAUGAACCGUGAGGCUUAACCUUACAACGCCGAAG
rnacentral:rRNA from 3 species